GAUGAACGCUGGCGGCGUGCCUAAUACAUGCAAGUCGAGCGAACGGACGAGAAGCUUGCUUCUCUGAUGUUAGCGGCGGACGGGUGAGUAACACGUGGAUAACCUACCUAUAAGACUGGGAUAACUUCGGGAAACCGGAGCUAAUACCGGAUAAUAUUUUGAACCGCAUGGUUCAAAAGUGAAAGACGGUCUUGCUGUCACUUAUAGAUGGAUCCGCGCUGCAUUAGCUAGUUGGUAAGGUAACGGCUUACCAAGGCAACGAUGCAUAGCCGACCCGAGAGGGGGGUCGGCCACACGGGAACUGAGACACGGUCCAGACUCCUACGGGAGGCAGCAGUAGGGAAUCUUCCGCAAUGGGCGAAAGCCUGACGGAGCAACGCCGCGUGAGUUAUGAAGGUCUUCGGAUCGUAAAACUCUGUUAUUAGGGAAGAACAUAUGUGUAAGUAACUGUGCACAUCUUGACGGUACCUAAUCAGAAAGCCACGGCUAACUACGUG
rnacentral:rRNA from 1 species